rnacentral:lncRNA from 1 species
UGGCUGCCCUGGAACUUGGUAAACUCACAUCCUUUGAGGCAAGCAUCAGAUAAGCAUCUCAUCUACCUCCAAGGCGAGAUCAGUAGUUGACAAAGGCAAAAAAUGAAGAGUGAUAAAAAGUCAUGAGAAAAAUCUACACUACCACUAACAGAAUAGAAAGACAGGUUUUGAAAUACGUGUGCUGUCAUCGAACUAUUACUUCAGAGCAGUACUCCUUCUCUCUCCUCAUUCGCAACAAUGAACCAAGGAACGUUUGCUUUGAUGAAAAGAACUCUUAAAAAUCAAAAUGUUUUAUCAGAAAAUGAAACAAAAACAUCAUUGAUGUAACUAAUGAAUGAAUGCAGUCAAGAAAGGUUCUGUUUUCCUCAAUAAAGUUGUUCAUUUGCCCAGCAUUUUGCCUGAUACAUGCUUGGACUUCCAGUACUAUGCUGAACAAUGACG